UGGUACGUAUUCUUUGAGGGAAGGCGGCUUUCCUUCUCGCAGAAUCCGCAUCGCAAAGCUUCCCCCUCCCGUCGCCGCGCCGGCGAUGAGCUCCCCCUCCGUUCCCGGCCACCUUCCAGCUCCCACUCCUCCACCAGAUCCUCUCCCCCCUGCCUCAGUAUCAGGCUCAAGCUCAGCCACUCACAAGGCCUCCGCGCCAAAACCUAAAUCCCCAAUCACCACCGCGCCAUCACCAUCACCACCAAAACCAAAACCAAAACCAAAACCAAAGCCCCCCUCCAGAAAUGCCGCCGCCAUUCCGGUUACGGCGGCUACCGUCUCCCGUAGCUCCCCUGCGGCGACCAGCAGCGCCCCGGAGGACUACACGCCGCGGAUGGACAUGGAGUUCGAUUCGGAGCAGCAGGCGUACGAGUUCUACCGCCACUACGCCUUCAAGGUCGGCUUCAACGUCCGGAAGCGCUACACCAACAAGAGCAGGAAGACCGGCGAGGUCACCUCCUGCAAGCUAGCCUGCUCCCGCGAGGGACACAAGCAGCACUCCAGCGCCGCCACCAAGCCCCACAACGGCGCCGCCAUUUUCUUGACUGAAUCCCGCACCGGCUGCAACGCCCACCUCACCAUCCGCCGCAACAAUCCCGGCGAAAAGUUCCAGGUCAACGCUUUCCAGCCGCGCCACAACCACCCGCUCUUCGCCCCGCCCCGCGGCGUGCCCAGUCCCUUCCAGUUCCAUGAUGCCCCUGUUCCACCACCACCUGAUUUUCCCAACGGUGAUGCCGGCGCGUGUGCCGUCGGUGAAGGGCCCCUGCGGACUAGGCGGCAGUGGGAGAUGAAGUACGGAGAGGCCGCCGCGCUGCUGAACCACCUCCAGCAGCAGUCGCUGGCCGACCCGGCGUUCCACCAUGCCGUGCAGCUGGAUGCCGAGGACAAAGUAGCGAAUGUUUUCUGGGUUGACGCGAGGAUGGUCAUCGACUAUGGCCACUUCGGCGAUGUCGUCGCCUUCGACGUCGUUUCUAGGAACAGCAUCAGCCUCCGUCAUCUCGCCUCGUUCGUCGGCUGCAACAAUUUCGGCGAGCCUGUGGUCUUUGGACUGGCUCUCAUGUACGACGAGACCUGCGAGUCGUUCCAGUGGCUUUUCCAGAGGUUCCUUCACGCAAUGUCUCGACAAGCGCCAAGGACUUUCUUCUCGCAUCAGGACGCUGUCAUAGCAAAGGCCCUGUCAGUAGUGAUGCCUAGUACGAGCCAUGUUAUAUGCACGUCGCACAUUAAGCACGGCGCAACCUGGAAUGUUAAUCAUCUUGCUAAGGGUCAGUGCGAUUUCAUCAACGAGUUUAAGGCGUGCAUCAGCGAGUAUGAUGAGGAGGCGGAGUUUCUGGCAGCUUGGGAUGCUAUGAUCAGUAAGUAUGACCUUCGUGGUAACGUAUGGUUGCAGAAGUUAUUUGAAGAGAAACAGAAGUGGGCUAGGCCCUAUGCAAAAGGGAUCUUCACAGCUGGGAUGAAAGGCACACAAUUGAACGAGCGCCUGAAUUCUGACGUGCGGGAUCAUUUGAAAGCCGAGGUGGAUAUUGUUCUGUUCUUGAAGCAUCUUCAGAAGGUGAUCAACGACAGGCGGUACAAAGAACUGGAGGUUGAGUACAACUCGAGGUUGAAGUUGCCUUACUUCAAAAUUAGAGCUCCUGUUCUGACACAAGCUUCCGAGGUCUAUACCAGUGUGAUAUUUCAGUUUCUACAAGAAGAAUUUGAGGAGUUCCAGUCAGCUUACAUUGUGAACCGUGAUGAAAGUGGCCCGUGCCGCGAGUAUGUUGUCUCGAUUGUUGAAAAAGAGGAACAGUAUACAGUUUAUGGGAACUCCACGGAGCAGACUGUUUCAUGCUCAUGUAGGAAGUUUGAGACAAUCGGAUUCUUGUGUAGCCAUGCUCUAAAAAUUCUAGAUGCUAUGGAUAUAAAGUAUAUACCGGAUAGAUACAUCAUGAAGCGGUGGACCAAAUACGCAAGGUGUUUGAACUCACCAGAGGUUCUAGGGCAAGAAGUUCAAGUAGAGAAAUCACUGGAAAUUUCUAAUCGCUAUCAGUACAUGUGCCCGAAGUAUGUUAGGCUUGUUUCCCGGGCAUCAGAAUGCGAGGAAUCCUGUAGAGUGCUAGACCAGUUUUGGGGAGAACUUAGUGAUAAAGUUGAAGAAAUCCUACAGAAACAAACCAGCAUUGGCACAUCUGUGAGACAGCCUGAUGUUCAGAGUCUUAAGAUAGCCUUAUCUUCUAUCACAAAAGGCGCUGAAUCAGAAAAUGUCCUGGACAAAUCAAGCAGCACAGCAGCAAAAGUAUUAAAGAGGAAAGACCAGAAAAGUAAAAAUCAUCCGAGAAAUUGCAUUGAAAAAGGUCUGAGGAAGAAGCAGAAAGUGCACUCAGAAGAACCCACAGUGCAGUAUGCUUUUUUAGAUGCUUCUGCACAAUCUGGAAAUGCUAUGUUUCAGGACUUGGAGGCUCCUCCUAACAUGUCCCAAAUGGGUAGCCAAACUCCAUCUUAUAAAGCUUACAUGGGGACUGGCCUUUCAAGUCCUAUGGGGACAAUCAACUAUGAAGAGAUGCACUCUGGCGCAAGUCCAGCGUUCUCUCUGUUGUUGCCUUCUCAGGAACUAGACUUUGUCGACUGUCACACUUCUCAGGUUUCAAGUGACAGCCAGCACAACCAGGGGUUGUAGAAAUCAGUGUCUACUUGAAGACUCUUGUGCUUCUCUCUCUGGAGCACGAUCAAUGGGAUAUGUGGGCUCUUUGUGGUAAACUGAAUGAUUCUCAUGGCUUACGAUGUCUACACGUCAUCAUCAACUCUAUAUGACAAUGAUAAGCUGCACAGCAAGGAAAUAAACAGGACCAGAAGGAGUGAAGCACCAACAAGAAAUAGUUUUCUAGCUUAUAAGCUUCUACACCGUAGGAAGAGCAAAAUAACCAAGUAUUUCUUUGAGCUAAGCUGAUCCUUCAAUCUGCGGGAAAGAAGGAAGAGUUUAGAAGAGCCCUAGGAAUGACAUGGUCAAACAGCCUUAGCUAAGUAGCUAAGCAUCUGCGCCAUUCAGUACUUGGAAUAUAUAGAUGCAGCUUUCGGUGGAGUUUGACGGCCUUGGCCUGCAUUAUUUGAAGAUGUUGAAUGAUGCUGAUGCGCUGCAAUCUAAGUGGCUAUGGGAGGCACACACUUCUGACUCGCUACCAUGGGCACAAGUGGGCUUGGCAGUUUCCAUUGAAGCAAGAGUGAUCUUCAUGCAUGGCCUGGAUCUUGAUUGAGCUUAAGGAUGGCAAGUCGACUCUGUUUGGCAGGGGCCGUGGAUAGAUGGGCAGAGAGUAAAACAAAUUGCACCUGAUCUGUGUGCUUUUGUCAAACCAGCAGCGCGGCGGGAGAGAACGGUGAUGGACGGAGGAUCUUUUGGAGUAUCUCUCUGUCCCUGCUGUCUUGCAAUUCCUGACUCUAUGGAGAGCAAUUGAAGCCACCCCUCCACUCGAACAGGGAUGUGACAAGUGGAUUUGGAAAUGGACUGCGUCCGGCUGCCAUUCUUGCAGUUCUGCAUACAAAAUCGCCUUUGAAGGAAGACUGUGGCUGGUCAUCUCUGGUUUGGAAACCAUGGGUUCGUCUGAAAUUCAAGUUCUUUGCUUAGUUUGCACGAAGAAAUCACUGCUGGACAUCAGAUUGUUUAGCGCGGCAUGGCCUCCCGCACCAACCAGCCUGUCCUCUUUGCGCCCAAGCCAUGGAGGAUAUUGAACACCUACUGAUUCAGUGCCCCUUCGCGCGAGAAGUUUGGUUCUACAUGCUGGGUUGGAUCGGGUGUCAACACUUCACGCCGGUGGUGAGUGACAGCCUUCUUGAGUGGUGGUCCAAUUGCCAACAGAGAUUCCCGCGAACCUCUGCUCAGGCUACAACUCUGUGUUACUCUGCACGUUGCGCUUAAUUUGGUUGGAACGAAAUAGCAGUGUGUUUGGCUUGUAAAUGAAAAGAUAAAGGUUAUGUGUAGGGACUGGCAACUUGUAGGUGGAGGUGGGUUAGUAAGAGUUAUUCCUGAAGAGUGCUAGGGGUGGAGUUCAGCCGGUACCGCUUGUGGCGCCGAUGAUUUGUGAAACAACUCUCUUCUACCUUUAUAUAUAGACACGCAGACCUCCUGAGAGUUCUGGGAAGAAAAAAUAGAUGUAUGUUUUCUUUUGUUGUUAAGAUGUGCCAUUGGA